rnacentral:rRNA from 1 species
CGGGUGAGUAACACGUGGGUGAUCUGCCCUGCACUUUGGGAUAAGCCUGGGAAACUGGGUCUAAUACCGAAUAUGACUCUUGACUGCAUGGUUGGGAGUGGAAAGCUUUUGCGGUGUGGGAUGGGCCCGCGGCCUAUCAGCUUGUUGGUGGGGUCAAGGCCUACCAAGGCGACGACGGGUAGCCGGCCUGAGAGGGUGACCGGCCACACUGGGACUGAGAUACGGCCCAG